rnacentral:tRNA from 1 species
UUGGGCCUAGUUGUGUAACUCCUUAUUGUGGUUAAGGGGGAGGCGCCCAAA